rnacentral:lncRNA from 1 species
AUGAUGAGUCUCAUGACACGUGUGGUCCAGUUAGUCCUUGUUCUAAUUCAGACAAGGCAGGUGGCCUUGUACCCAUCUCUUCACUUCCUAGUAAAUGAAAGAUUUGGACUAGCUGAUCUCUGCAUCUCCUUCCAGUUCUGGCAUCGGAUAUGCUGCGACUCUGAGAGGACAUCUUCCCUGGGUCUGGCUCUUACUGUUCAGGUUCAACCACGUGAAGAUGACGUUGGUGUGGAGGGUCCAAUGCUCUGCAUUUGGUGCUUAAUCCAGAGGAGGAGUGUCUCAUGCAAAAGUGUAACUGUGCAUGCUAGAAGCCCAGGGAUUCCCCAAGAAGAGAUAGUAGCAGGGUUUGCAAAGACUUAUCAGCUAAUCCCCGGAGGCAUCACAGAAGAGAUGAAAAGAAGCAUUCCUGUUUGGAAACCAAAUCCAAAAUCGGCAGAGUCGCAUGUGCAUACACACGCAAACAUGUGACGGAAAAAGAAAACUAUUAAUUGACCCCAAGCACGGUGUUGCACUUCUCCUCAAAAGUAGGGUUUGCCAGGAUAGCAAAGCUAAAUAGAUGUCAUUUCGUUGAUGCUAAUCGGAAAGAAAUAAUUUCAUCUCUAAUUUACUUCAAGAAACAAAGGUCAGCUGAAACGUGUCAUAAUGCUAAAUGAGAAGAAAAAUACCUGAAAAUAUAUGAAAUUCUAAAUAAGAAUCUCAUGAUUUUAAUGCAAAUUCAAGUCAAAAAUGUGUUCAGUAGAGAUGCUUUGGGAUGCUCAGCUGUCCUCCCCAGUUACAGCUCAUAGACAUGGUGAAUGAAGUGUUUGUGUUUCCACAAUUCAGUUUCCUGAGAUGCUCCUUGUACAUAUUGUGUCAUCUUGGUGGCGUCAGGACGUGCUAUAUCAGUUUGACAGCGGUGUUCUCUGAGGCUUUAGAAAAGCAGCCGCUGGACAAAUCAUUUUGCAAAUCCCUCCCUCACUAUCAUCCCACUUUGGGACAGAGGGUUCCAUGUGAAGGGCACAGGCUUGGUUCUGUCUUUC